AUGAACGCUUGCGGCGUGCCUAAUACAUGCAAGUCGAGCGAACGGACGAGAAGCUUGCUUCUCUGAUGUUAGCGGCGGACGGGUAAGUAACACGUGGAUAACCUACCUAUAAGACUGGGAUAACUUCGGGAAACCGGAGCUAAUACCGGAUAAUAUUUUGAACCGCAUGGUUCAAAAGUGAAAGACGGUCUUGCUGUCACUUAUAGAUGGAUCCGCGCUGCAUUAGCUAGUUGGUAAGGUAACGGCUUACCAAGGCAACGAUGCAUAGCCGACCUGAGAGGGUGAUCGGCCACACUGGAACUGAGACACGGUCCAGACUCCUACGGGAGGCAGCAGUAGGGAAUCUUCCGCAAUGGGCGAAAGCCUGACGGAGCAACGCCGCGUGAGUGAUGAAGGUCUUCGGAUCGUAAAACUCUGUUAUUAGGGAAGAACAUAUGUGUAAGUAACUGUGCACAUCUUGACGGUACCUAAUCAGAAAGCCACGGCUAACUACGUG
rnacentral:rRNA from 1 species